GUGCUGAACUGUAAUAUUCCUGGGUCAAUUGGAAUGAUACAGAGAUUAGCAUGUCCACUGUGCAAGGAUGACACACAAAUUUGUGAAGGCUACAAUAAAAAU